UGAAUACGAGAUGCUACGGCAUCGAAGCAGUCUAUGUCAUACUUCCAAGAAAAGCUUGCACUGUCAUAAACAAAUAAUGCCUGUACCAUAACCGACACAGGUGGGUAGGUAGAGUAUACUAAGGGGCGCGAGAUAACCCUCUCUAAGGAACUCGGCAAAAUGACUCCGUAACUUCGGGAGAAGGAGUGCCUUAUUUUAUAAGGUUGCAAUAACAAGAUCCAAGCAACUGUUUACCAAAAACACAGGUCUCCGCUAAGUCGUAAGACGAUGUAUGGGGGCUGACGCCUGCCCAGUGCCAGAAGGUUAAAGAAGUUGGUUAGCAUUAGCAAGCUGAUAACUGAAGCCCUGGUGAACGGCGGCCGUAACAAUAACGGUCCUAAGGUAGCGAAAUUCCUUCGGGUAAGUUCCGACCCGCACGAAAGGCGUAAUGAUUUGGAUACUGUCUCGGAGAGGGGCUCGGUGAAAUAGACUUGGCUGUGAAGAUGCGGACUACCUGCACCAGGACAGAAAGACCCUAUGAAGCUUUACUGUAACUUGAGAUUGAAAUUGGACUUUAUUUGCGCAGUAUAGGUGGGAGACGUUGAAAAUAUUCUUGCGGGAAUAUUGGAGUCAUCAGUGAGAUACCACUCUUAUAAUGUUAGAUUUCUAACUUUGUAUCAUUAUCUGGUCAAAGAACAGUCUCAGGCGGGCAGUUUGACUGGGGCGGUCGCCUCCCAAACGGUAACGGAGGCGCACAAAGGUUUCCUCUGAACGUGUAGAAAUCGUAUCUAGAGUGUAAAGGCAUAAGGAAGCUUGACUGUGAGACCUACAAGUCGAGCAGGGACGAAAGUCGGUCUUAGUGAUCUGACGGUGCUGAGUGGAAAGGCCGUCACUCAACGGAUAAAAGUUACUCUAGGAUAACAGGCUGAUCUCCCCCAAGAGCUCACAUCGACGGGGAGGUUUGGCACCUCGAUGUCGGCUCAUCGCAUCCUGGGGCGGUAGUACGUCCCAAGGGUUGGGCUGUUCGCCCAUGAAAGCGGUACGCGAGCUGGGUUCAGAACGUCGUGAGACAGUUCGGUCCAUAUCCGGUGUAGGCGUUAGAAUAUUGAGAGGGGCCUUCUUUAGUACGAGAGGACCGAGAAGGACAUACCUCUGGUGUACCAGUUAUCGUGCCAACGGUAAACGCUGGGUAGCUAUGUAUGGAGAGGAUAACCGCUGAAAGCAUCUAAGUGGGAAGCCCACCUCAAGGUAAG
rnacentral:rRNA from 1 species